AUGGAGGUGUUUGGCCAAGCUUUUAAAAAGCACUUUUUGAUUGAAAAGUGAUUUUCGGUCCAAUAGAGCGUUUGAAUCUCAUUUUUAAAAUCUGAUUCUGCUUCUUAGAAUCAGAAAAUUGAUUUUGAAGGCCCCAUAAUCAGAAACAGAAAAAAGCUGCUUCUUGAAAAUCUGAUUUUGAACUCAAAUUUCAAAUUUUUAUUUUCAUUUUAAAUUCAAUGUUUAAAUUUAAUUUUAAUUUUAAUUUUUAAUUUUUAGAUUCAUUUUUGAAUUUUUAAAUUUUAACUUUUUAAAUUUAAAAUUUGAAAAAUAGAUUUCAAACUAUAAAUUUUAAAUUUUAAUUUUAAAUUUCAAAUCUCAAAUUUUAGAUUUUAAAAUUUAAAAUUUUAAAUUUCAAAUUUCAAAUUUUAAAUUCAAGAUGAAAUUUAAAAUUUGGCAUUUUAGAUUUUAAAAUUUAAAUUUAAAAUUUUAAAAAUUUUAAAUGUUAAAUUACAAGUUUUAAUCUUCAAAUUAUAAAAUUUUAAAAAUUAAAUUUUAAAUUUUUAAAAUUUAAAUUCUAAAUAUUCAAUUUUAAAUUUUAAAUUUUGAAUUUUGAAUUUUAAAUAUUCUAAUUUUAAAUUUCAUUAUUAUUUAAAAUUUUAAAUUUUAAAUUUUAAAUUAAAAGUUUUAAUCUUCAAAUUAUAAAUUUUUAAAAUUUAAAAUUUAAAUUUUUAAAUUUCAAAAUUUAAAAUUUAAAUUUUAAAUAUUCAAAUUUUAAAUUUUAAAUUUUAAAUUUCAUAAUUAUUUUAAAUUUUAAAUUUUAAAUCUUUAAAUUAUUUUUUAAAUUUAAAUUUUAAAUUUUACAUUUUGUACAAUUUUAAAUUUAAAANUUUAUGCAAACAUCAAAAAACUUUUGCCAAACAGUUUUUCAAAAUCACUUCAAAAAAAUUACUUUUAUCUAAACUCAGCCAAACGUUUUACAAUUUUUAACUAAAAUUACAUCUCCAAACCAAAAUCACUUUUUCAAAAAUUAUUUUUUUAAAAGGUAGGCCAAACAGGCCCUAUAAAAUGGUAAUAUCGGGCUGCAACCAGAAGUUGAAAAGUUGAAGAUCUAAAGCCAGUAAUAAAGGACAGAACUGGCGGGCCUCCCAGCGCUGGUUGAUUAAUGGGCGGCGGACUUUGUUUGCUUUUCCCUGUCAGAAGUGGUGCAUCAAGAUUUCAAGAUUGAGGUAUUCAUUACGAGAGGAGAAGGAAGUUUACUGUGUCAUACGUACACCACAUCAUCAAUAAUAAAUUAAUCAUAUUUCUCCAUUUCAAAAAAAAGUACAAUAAUAAAUUUUUUUUAUAAUUAUGAUGUAACGGAUAAUUCUAAAAGAAGCAACUUGAUUGGUGGAAAACACCCCAUCAGCAAUGUAACCGAUCAUUCUAAAAUCUUUCA
rnacentral:lncRNA from 1 species